rnacentral:lncRNA from 10 species
CUACGCUUGGCAGGCAAAAAGGUCCUAAGACCCUCCUUCUAAAGAGGGUUCUACCCCAUACCCUGGAGGAUGAACUGCUGCACAGAGAGUCCAGGAAGAAUGUGAACAGACAGGACUUGCGGGCUUUUCCUACUCUGCCUAUUCAUAUUAGACCUUACCCUUUUUGUCCAAUGCUAUUUCUGCACAAUGGUCAGCCAUGCUUAUCCAGUGAAGUCUCCAUAGAAGGCCCAAGAGGACUGCUGAACACAUGGAUGCCGACCAAGAACUGAUCUGUGUGCCAGGAGGGUGAUGCCUCUCAGCUCCACGGGGACAGAAGCUCCUGUGCUUGGGACCGGUCCAGACCUCAUCAUGUUUGUCUCCAUCUGGCUGUUUAUUUUAUCCUUUAAGAUACACUUUGUAAUAAAC